rnacentral:rRNA from 1 species
CCUACGGGAGGCAGCAGUGGGGAAUAUUGCACAAUGGGGGGAACCCUGAUGCAGCGACGCCGCGUGAGUGAAGAAGUAUUUCGGUAUGUAAAGCUCUAUCAGCAGGGAAGAAGAUGACGGUACCUGACUAAGAAGCCCCGGCUAACUACGUGCCAGCAGCCGCGGUAAUACGUAGGGGGCAAGCGUUAUCCGGAUUUACUGGGUGUAAAGGGAGCGUAGACGGCAGGGCAAGUCUGGAGUGAAAGCCCGGGGCCCAACCCCGGGACUGCUUUGGAAACUGCCAUGCUAGAGUGCUGGAGUACAGGAGGGGCAGGCGGAAUUCCUGGUGUAGCGGUGAAAUGCGUAGAUAUCAGGAGGAACACCGGCGGCGAAGGCGGCCUGCUGGACUGAAACUGACGUUGAGGCUCGAAAGCGUGGGGAGCAAACAGGAUUAGAUACCCUUGUAGUC